AUUGAACGCUGGCGGCAGGCCUAACACAUGCAAGUCGAGCGAGCGGCGGACGGGUGCGUAAUGUAUGGGGAAUGUCCGAUAGAGGGGGAUAACUACUGGAAACGGUAGCGAAUACCGCAUAUUAUCGGAUAACCCAUAUGGGAUUAGCUAGUAGGUGGGGUAAUGGCCCACCUAGGCGACGAUCCCUCGCUGGUCUGAGAGGAUGAUCAGCCACACUGGGACUGAGACACGGCCAUGACUCCUGCGGAGGCAGCAGUGGGGAAUAUUGCACAAUGGGCGCAAGCCUGAUGCAGCCAUGCCGCGUGUAUGAAGAAGGCCCUAGGGUUGUAAAGUACUUUCAGUAGGGAGGCGUUACCGACAGAAGAAGCACCGGCUAACUCCGUGCCAGCAGCCGCGGUAAUGC
rnacentral:rRNA from 1 species